rnacentral:rRNA from 1 species
UGGGGAAUAUUGGGCAAUGGGCGCAAGCCUGACCCAGCCAUGCCGCGUGAGUGAUGAAGGCCUUAGGGUUGUAAAGCUCUUUUAGUGGGGAAGAUGAUGACGGUACCCACAGAAUAAGCUCCGGCUAACUUCGUGCCAGCAGCCGCGGUAAUACGAAGGGAGCAAGCGUUACUCGGAUUUACUGGGCGUAAAGGGCGUGUAGGCGGCUUGGUCAGUCAGAUGUGAAAGCCCUGGGCUUAACCCGGGAACUGCAUUUGAUACUGCCAAGCUUGAGUAUAAGAGAGGUAAGCGGAAUUUCCAGUGUAGCAGUGAAAUGCGUAGAUAUUGGAAGGAACACCGAUGGCGAAGGCAGCUUACUGGCUUAUAACUGACGCUGAGGCGCGAAAGCGUGGGGAGCAAA